AACCUCCGCAAUGUGAGAAAUCGCGACGGGGGGAUCCCAAGUGCCAUUCUUAACGGGAUGGCUUUUCAUUAGUGUAAAGAGCUUUUGGAAUAAGGGCUGGGCAAGACCGGUGCCAGCCGCCGCGGUAACACCGGCAGCUCUAGUGGUAACAAUUUUUAUUGGGCCUAAAGCGUCCGUAGCCGGUUUAAUAAGUCUCUGGUGAAAUCCUGCAGCUUAACUGUGGGAAUUGCUGGAGAUACUAUUAGACUUGAGACCGGGAGAGGUUAGAGGUACUCCCAGGGUAGAGGUGAAAUUCUGUAAUCCUGGGAGGACCGCCUGUUGCGAAGGCGUCUAACUGGAACGGUUCUGACGGUGAGGGACGAAAGUUAGGGGCGCGAACCGGAUUAGAUACCCGGGUAGUCCUAACUGUAAACGAUGCGGACUUGGUGUUGGGGUGGCUUUGAGCUGCUUCAGUGCCGAAGGGAAGCUGUUAAGUCCGCCGCCUGGGAAGUACGGUCGCAAGACUGAAACUUAGAGGAAUU
rnacentral:rRNA from 1 species